rnacentral:rRNA from 1 species
UCGCAUGGAGCAGUGUGAAAAACUCCGGUGGUACAGGAUGGUCCCGCGUCUGAUUAGCCAGUUGGCGGGGUAACGGCCCACCAAAGCGACGAUCAGUAGCCGGCCUGAGAGGGUGGACGGCCACAUUGGGACUGAGACACGGCCCAAACUCCUACGGGAGGCAGCAGUGGGGAAUAUUGCACAAUGGGGGAAACCCUGAUGCAGCGACGCCGCGUGAGUGAAGAAGUAUUUCGGUAUGUAAAGCUCUAUCAGCAGGGAAGAAGAUGACGGUACCUGAGUAAGAAGCCCCGGCUAACUACGUGCCAGCAGCCGCGGUAAUACGUAGGGGGCAAGCGUUAUCCGGAUUUACUGGGUGUAAAGGGAGCGUAGACGGUGAAGCAAGUCUGGAGUGAAAACCCGGGGCUUAACCCCGGGAUUGCUUUGGAAACUGUUUAACUGGAGUGCAGGAGAGGUAAGCGGAAUUCCUAGUGUAGCGGUGAAAUGCGUAGAUAUUAGGAGGAACACCAGUGGCGAAGGCGGCUUACUGGACUGUAACUGACGUUGAGGCUCGAAAGCGUGGGGAGCAAACAGGAUUAGAUACCCUGGUAGUCCACGCGGUAAACGAUGAUUACUAGGUGUAGGUGGGUAUGGACCCAUCGGUGCCGCAGCUAACGCAGUAA